rnacentral:misc_RNA from 1 species
CGUCGCGAUUCCUAUUGUUGCAUAUCAAUGCAUUAUUUCACAGUGAACGGCAGUCCAAACGCCACUGGCUAUUUGCGAGCGUAUUUAAAAUUCGAAAUGUGCAUUUAAAUAACUACCAAUUGUUCCUAAUUGAUUUCUGAGUUAUACUUACUUAUUUUAUAAUGGUGGCGGCUGACGUAUCGUCUGUAAAUAAAGAUGUCUUUCAAGAAUUGGAAAAUUUCGGCAGAUAUCAAACUUUACAAUUUAUUUUGAUCUGCCUACCACUGUUUGUUGUAUCUAUGAGUAUAGUCAACUAUGUGUUUGUUGCUGAAGACGUUAAUUACAGAUGUCGAGUACCGGAAUGCGAUGGGGUAAAUGCGACAGUUGAAGUUCCGUUAUGGUGGCCAGAAGACCCGGAUACAAGAUGUAUGCGGCCCGUCCUCGACCCAUCGUUCAACCUUACCAGAGGUCAAUGCUCCAAUGUCACUUUCCUGCCGAUUAGGGAGGAAUGCACAGAAUGGAUCUACGAAAGCGAAAACUCCGUCGUAGCUGGGUUGAACCUCGGUUGUCAGUCGUGGAUCGCGACCCUGGUGGGCAGCGCUCACAACUCCGGCAUGAUCGCUUCCAUGAUCCUCACUGGAUGGGUCGCUGACAAGGUCGGAAGAAAGCCAACAGUAAUCAUAUGUGCCAUUGGCGGGGCCCUUGGAAUAUCAAAAAUAUUCAUUACUAAUUACUACAUCUAUCUAGUGGUGGAAUUCCUAGAAUCAUUCCUUUCAUCAGGACUCUAUACAGUUGGAGUUGUUUUACUAAUAGAAGUCGCAGGAGAUCGGAAAAGAGUCCUAGCAGGAGUAAUAUUUUCCUAUGCAACUUAUGUUGGCGAAGUAUUAUUCGCGUUCUUCGCGAUGGGGCUGAAACAUUGGAAGUACCUCAUUCUAGUCGCCAACGUGCCCUCAUUAUUCUUCAUAGUCUAUUUCUUCAUACUACGCGAGAGCACUAGAUGGCAAAUGUUACGAGGGAAAAUGGACGCUGCUAAGGAAACCUUCAAAAAGAUCGCAAAGACAAAUAAUCUGAACAUAUCGGCGAAAGAAAUUGAUGAUAUUUCAGAUGAAGACUUGCGAGAGAAGUUCAAUGUGUUGGUACAGAAAGAGAAAGAAAGCUUGAGAGAAAUACUGCGUUCGAAAGAGAUAAUGGUACGACUCUUGGUUUCGUCUGCGUGCUUUUUCAGUUCGAGUUUUGUGUACUGCGGGCUGUUGGUCCAUUCGGUAUUUUUACCCGGGAACAAAUAUACGAACUUCGCCCUGGCUUCCUUGACUUCCUUCCCUGGAGAUAUGCUGGCGUUUUACACGUUCAACAAGUUUGGGAGAAAAGUUACGCUCCAAUAUGGAUAUUUUGCUACUGCCGUUUUCAUAUUAGCACAGGCGUACACACCACAUACGCUACCCUGGCUGAAGGUAGCAUUAUUCUUGUUGGGGAAAUUCGCCGUGGUGGUAUGCUUCACGGGUAUCUUCACGUACAGCAUGGAGUUAUUCCCCACCAGCAUCCGAGGGUCCCUGGUCGGUGUGGGCAAUACUGCAGCCAGGAUCGGCAGCAUGCUCUCGCCGCUUACUCCACUCUUGACGAGCGAGAUAGAGACGCUGCCGUCCAUUUUGUUUGCAUCAACCGUAAUUUUGGCUGGACUUCUUCUCAUCUUUACUCCGGAAACGAAGAACAUGCCUCUCUUCGAUACCAUCGCGCAGGUCGAGGCUUAUAAAGCGAAAAAUAAGUCCGCCGCUUAGAAUUUCUAAUUUCUAGCUUCAAGUGGGUGAAUUUUUGAAAGUUUUUUUUUACGCAGGUCGAAGUUCUGUGAUACGCGAGUGCUUUUAAGUUCAUUAUGGAAUGCGACUUUCCAGGCUACGGUCCCCAAAAAUAAUGUUGGCGCUGCAUUUUUUUUAUUAAUUUAGGUUUAUUAUAGGAAGAUUUCACAAUAAAAUGAAACACGAAACCAUAAAAAAAAACAAAGAAAAAUGUAAUAUUUUUUACACUAAUAAUAUGGUUCCGAGAAUGAGGGACUUUCCAAGCUACGGUCACCAAAUCUAUAUAGAUGGCGUUGUACAGAUUUAACAUUAUAAUUAUCUAUUUUCUCAUUGCUCGGGUACCUCAUUAUUCAAAGAUAAUUUAAUGGCAGAAGUGUACUUAUAUAAAAAUAAUUCUUGCUUGAUACUGAAAUUGUUACCUAUAUUGCUUCUCUUUAUUUUGAUUAGAAUAAUAAUGGGUGGAAGAUGUAAGUGUUGUGUCUGGAAGUAAUAAAAAGGUUAUCAUUUAUGCCCAAAAACAAAGGUGAAAGAUGCACAGGGGGGUUAAAAU